GACAUAGGGCGCGAGCGUUGUCCGGAUUUAUUGGGCGUAAAGAGCUCGUAGGCGGUCUGUCGCGUCUGCUGUGAAAACUCAGGGCUUAACCCUGAGCUUGCAGUGGGUACGGGGCAGACUAGAGUGCGGUAGGGGAGACUGGAAUUCCUGGUGUAGCGGUGAAAUGCGCAGAUAUCAGGAGGAACACCGAUGGCGAAGGCAGAUCUCUGGGCCGUAACUGACGCUGAGGAGCGAAAGCAUGGGGAGCGAACAGG
rnacentral:rRNA from 1 species